rnacentral:rRNA from 1 species
AUUGAACGCUGGCGGCAGGCCUAACACAUGCAAGUCGAGCGGAUGAACGGGGCUUGCUCCUGGAUUCAGCGGCCGACGGGUGGGUAAUGCCUAGGAAUCUCCCCUGUCGUUGAGGAUAACAUCCCGAAACGGGCCCUAAUAUAACAUCCGUCCUCAUGUAGAACGUGGUGGAUCUUCGGACCUCACGCUAUCUGAUGAGCCUAGGUCGGAUUAGCUAGUUGGUGUGGUAAAGGCCUACCAAGGCGACGAUCCGUAACUGGACUGAGAGGAUGAUCAGUCACACUGGAACUGAGACACGGUCCAGACUCCUACGGGAGGCAGCAGUGGGGAAUAUUGGGCAAUGGGCGAAAGCCUGAUCCAGCCAUGCCGCGUGUGUGAAGAAGGUCUUCGGAUUGUAAAGCACUUUAAGUUGGGAGGAAGGGCAGUAAGUGAAUACCUUGCUGUUUUGACGGUACCAACAGAAUAAGCACCGGCUAACUUCGUG